rnacentral:rRNA from 1 species
AACGAACGCUAGCGGCAUGCCUAACACAUGCAAGUCGAACGAAGCCUUCGGGCUUAGUGGCGCACGGGUGCGUAACGCGUGGGAAUCUGCCCUUGGGUUCGGAAUAACAGUUAGAAAUGACUGCUAAUACCGGAUGAUGUCUUCGGACCAAAGAUUUAUCGCCCAAGGAUGAGCCCGCGUAGGAUUAGGUAGUUGGUGGGGUAAUGGCCCACCAAGCCGACGAUCCUUAGCUGGUUCGAGAGGAUGAUCAGCCACACUGGGACUGAGACACGGCCCAGACUCCUACGGGAGGCAGCAGUGGGGAAUAUUGGACAAUGGGCGAAAGCCUGAUCCAGCAAUGCCGCGUGAGUGAUGAAGGCCUUAGGGUUGUAAAGCUCUUUUACCAGGGAUGAUAAUGACAGUACCUGGAGAAUAAGCUCCGGCUAACUCCGUGCCAGCCGCCGCCGUAAAAC